GAACGCUGGCGGCAGGCCUAACACAUGCAAGUCGAACGCCCUAGCAAUAGGGAGUGGCAGACGGGUGAGUAACACGUGGGAACCUUCCCAAUAGUACGGAAUAGCCCAGGGAAACUUGGAGUAAUACCGUAUACGCCCGAAAGGGGAAAGAUUUAUCGCUAUUGGAUGGGCCCGCGUUGGAUUAGCUAGUUGGUGAGGUAAUGGCUCACCAAGGCGAUGA
rnacentral:rRNA from 1 species